GCCGGCCGCUCCGCCCCCUCCCCGCCGCCAUGGCCGCGGCCGCCGCGCGCUCCCUCUCCGGGCCCGGCCGCCGGGCGCUGCCGCUGGUGGUGAUCCUGGGCGCCACGGGCACCGGCAAAUCCGAGCUGGCGCUGCAGCUGGGCCUGCGGCUGGGCGGCGAGAUCGUCGGCGCCGACUCCAUGCAGGUGUACAAGGGGCUGGACAUCAUCACAAACAAGAUCUCUCCCCAGGAGCAGGCUUUGUGCAGACACCACAUGAUCAGCUUUGUGGAUCCCUUGGUCUCUAACUACACCGUGGUGGACUUCCGGAACAAAGCAGCCGCCCUGAUUGAAGAUAUAUUUGCUCGGGAGAAGAUCCCAAUUGUUGUGGGAGGCACCAACUAUUACAUCGAGUCCCUGCUCUGGAAGGUCCUUGUGGAUACCAAGGAGAAGACCAGCCCUUCCCCUGGGCGAGCAGCCGACCGGAGGGUGGAACUGGAGCAGCUGGACGGCCGCGAGCUCCAUUGCCGGCUGAGCCAAGUGGACCCGGAAAUGGCUGCCAAGCUGCAUCCCCACGAUAAGCGCAAAGUGGCCAGGAGCCUGCAAGUAUUUGAAGAAACUGGGAUCCCCCAUAGCGAGUUCCUGCAUCGGCAGCGAGAGGAGGAAGGUGGGGGCCCAUUGGGGGGGCCCCUGAAGUACCCAAACUCCUGUAUCCUGUGGCUUUACGCAGACCAGGCAGCUCUAGAUGUGCGGCUGGACAAGCGGGUGGAGGACAUGGUGGCAGCGGGGCUCCUGGAGGAGCUGCGGGACUUCCACCGGCGUUACAACCAGGAGAAGGUGGCUGAGAACUGCCAGGAUUAUCAGCACGGCAUUUUCCAGUCGAUUGGCUUCAAGGAGUUCCACGAGUACCUUAUGACAGAGGGGAAGUGCCCAGAGGAGACCAGCGCCUCGCUGCUGGAGAAAGGGAUCCAGGCCCUGAAACUGGUGACGAAGAGAUACGCCCGGAAGCAGAACAAGUGGGUCCGAAACCGCUUCUUGAGACGCCCUGGACCCAAUGUGCCCCCAGUGUAUGGCUUGGAGGUGUCUGAUCUCUCCCAGUGGGAUGAGAAUGUGUUGAAACCUGCCCUUCAGAUUGUGGAGAGCUUCAUCCAGGGGCGGCAGCCAUCGGCAGACCCUGUAAAGAUGGAGAGCGAGAUAAAUGAGGACAAACGGAGUCAUCACAUGUGUGAGCUCUGCAACAGAGUCAUCAUUGGGGACAGAGAAUGGGCAGCUCACACAAAGUCGAAGUCCCACCUGCACCACCUGAAGAAAAGAUUGAAGCUGCACUCAAAGCUCAGUGCUGUGGAAAGCCAAGUUAAUGUCACAGAGACUCAAGGAGCCAGUGAAGGGGCAGAGAACUUGGGACAGGACAGAAACUAGGCUCAGUUCUGCAUCUGCCAACCAGCUGGGGAGCCGGGUCAGCAGCUGUUCUAUCCCCGAUGGAAUCGAGAUUGAAUGGAGCAGAGCGCAGGAAGGAUCUGGGGAGAAGCUGGGUGUCUUGCUUUCAGCAUCCUGCUGUAGGCAAGAGCGUAUCCUCGUCACCUGGCAUGAAUGGGGUGGUGAAAGCACCAGCACCUGUUAGCACCUUUGAAAUGAUCUUGACAAUGGACUGGAACUAAAAUCCCUGGAGUUGACAACAGCCAGGGUCGGGAUCAUCCAGGCAAACUGUGAAUGAGGCCGGGAUUACGGGGAGGCAUCCUGUCUGCCUCCCGGACCAUGUGCUGUCAGAUGACCACCCUGUUAAAAAUGGAUUUAAUGGGCCUAAUCGGUUUAAUAUGAACUCCACUAUCUCCAAAGAUUAACAGUGUUAUGCGACCAAAAUAGCUGCUGCUAGUCUGCAUAUUCCAUUGACGAUCCCAUUAGCGAUGGCCACCGAGCUGCAGGGCUGAGCCUGAGAGAAGCCCCCUUGAGUCCUGGAGUAGAGGGCCCUCAGCACCUGGAAGGGUCAGGUGCAAGGCUUCAUUUCCCUGUCACUGUUUGGCACAUGGAGGCCUUGGGAGCAUCUUCUCCUCUUGUGCAGAUAGAAGACACCGCUCCUGUAGGUCCUGUACUGCCACCCACACCGCAGUAUCCGAGCAUCCUGCAAGUAAAGUCUCUAGUGGACUUCAGACUUUCAGGAUCCGAACCCUGCUGCAGAUUCAGCUGGAGCAGUGGAAAUGCUCCAUACCAGGGGAAGGGGCAGAGGCUGUCUUGGCUCCGGAUUGCAGUCUCGAGUGGGGAGGAGUUAAUGCUUCUUUGAAUGAUCUUCCUCCUUAGCUGCCACCCUGAGAGGCCAGCGGGGAACCUGCCAGCAGCUGAACUUAGCCAGCAAACUGCAGGUUACCCCUAGGUGUGAAAAACCAUCACAGGCUGGUUUUUUUCCCCCAGUGUUAGGUAAGUGCCAGCACGCGGGCCUGGUCUGAAGGCAGUUCUGGCUGGGUUCUGCCGAAGACCCGAAUGGCUUCCUGCUGCCGUGCUGCGUGACCUUUGUUCAGUUUUCCCUCUCUUGGUUUUGUUGCACCCGGCCCCCUCUCUGCCUCCUUCAGCAAAGAGCGCAGUUAAAAAUCAGCCUCCCUGAGAAAGUUGGUGGGGUCUCGAGUUUCAGGCUGUUGUCAGUUUCGAGUGGAAUGAGGAUGAGGAAUGCCACUUAGCUCCAUCUGCCCUCCGCUAAUCCCCAGACAAAUGCAGCCUUCCCAUCUGUGCUGCCAGAGCCUCAGGGACUAUCACACCAGGCACUGUAUCUACAUGACUUUGGCCAAAGAUAAGGUAAUUAAUUACAGUGGGAUUAGAAAACAGCACAGGCCCAGCCUUGCCUGUCAGUAAAAACCUUAGCUAGGCUGGCCCUGACCCUGCACUAGAAGUGCAGGUAGUUGGUUCCCAAAGGGAGAGGUUUGAGGAAAUGCACGGCCUGCCUUAGGGGCAGUCCUCCCUUGGAGCUCAUGGGCCACCAACACCCUGACCAUCAGCAAUUAACACGGAGCUCCUGCUUUGCUCCCACUUCCCAGCUGUGUCCUUCCAUCACAGGGGCCGUUAGCGCUCAGGAGAGCUGCUAGCAGGAGGAGCCUGGAGAGUGACGCCCCCAACCCUACAGAAGAGAAAGCAGCUGUAAGGGUGAGAGGGGGGAUUCUUAGUACCUCUGCUGAGGCUGCCAGCAAAGUGCCAAGUGUGCUGGUGGCUUUGAGUUACUCUCCGUGACUUGGACUGAGACCCACAGCGCUCAUUCCAUGGGUGUCACCAACCAUUCGUUGGAUUCCCAUUGUCUCCAUAGUAAGCAGCUUAUACGAUUCAGUCACAUAUUAUUGGGCUUGAUGGGUGAAAUGUUAUGGCCUGUUAUACAGGGUCAGACUAGCUCAUUGCAACGGUUGCUCCUAAAAUGUCUGGCUCUGUCUCUUGCAAUCUCUGAAACUCGUUAUAUGUUUGUUUUAUGCUGCCCCACACCCUGGGGACCCAGCUGACCUCGUGGCUCUUCCAUCUCCCCGUGAUAUUUACCGUCCUGGCAGAUCUUCCAUCUUUACUCCCCUUUGGAUUAAAUCCCCUUUCCUUGCGCUCUUCCUCAGCACUGAUCCCCGUCAGGAGUGUCUCAUUCGCCCGUACAAAGCUCUGUCAUUGGGUUCACUGUUCCUUUUGUCACCUCACGUGGGUCAUCUCGGCCUUCCUUGGCACUGCAGGUGUUUGUGA